CAACCUGUCAUGGCGGCCGGGCUGUUGGAUUGGAGCGCUCGCCGCCUUUUGGCAGUAGCCGCGACGCGAGGGCUCCCAGCCGCCCGCGUUCGCUGGGAAUCCAGCUCGGCCAGGGCCGUGAUCGCCCCGUCGGCUGUGGCUGGAAAGCGGACGCCGGAACCGACCGUACGCUGGCAGGAGGACCCAGAUCCGGAGGACGAAAACCUCUCCGAGAAGAACCCAGACUCCCACGGUAUGACAAGGACCCUGUUGUGGACCUCUGGAACAUGCGGAUCGUCUUUUUCUUUGGCUUCUCCAUCGUCUUGGUCCUUGGCAGCACCUUUAUAGCUUAUCUGCCUGAUUACAGAAUGCAGGAGUGGGCCCGCCGAGAAACUGAGAGGCUUGUUAAAUACCGAGAGGCCAAUGGCCUCCCCAUCAUGGAAUCCAACUGCUUUGACCCCAGCAAGAUCCAGCUACCAGAGGAUGAGGACUGACCCGUUGCCAAGUGGGGCUCAAGAACCAUCACCUUCUCCACCGCCUGCCUGUCAUUCUGCCCUUUCUUCAGAGCACCUAAUUAAAGGGACUAAAAGUCUGAAAAA